ACCCGGGUACUGCUGACCAUAGCGUCUUAUCGCUAUGUUCUUGACCUUGGCGCGAUAUGAAUGGGACGCUCGCAAGUGAAAUCUUAAUUAGAAACCAAAAAAACCUUUGCAAGAAUAUUCUCGUUCUUCGAGGUACCGCAUUAUUGCAAAAUCGUCCAGUUCAAGUUCUUCAUCGGACAGCAGUGCAAACAGUGAUAACACUGUAACUCACAGUAGUAAUAGUAGCCAUAGUGUGACAUGAAAGAGAAAGUACCAGUAAUUCAGAUGGAGUUCGAGUGCUAUGGGCUCGAAUAAUUUGGACAGUGAAAAUCAGGGACUAGAGGAGCAGUAUUUCGAGAACCUUUACGAUGCUUAUGGAGAGAACGAAGUUUAUAGUGGUGCAGAAUCCGAAUCAACAUAUGAAGGUGAAAACACGCCAGAUUCCUACAUAUGGUAUCCAGUGAAGCGGAUACUUUUUCAAAUCGUCUGCUAAUUCCUCGAGCGAAUCAUCAAACGAUGAAAACGAAGAGUCUAUGAAAGAUGCGAAUGCGCUACUAUAUAAUGGAGCCCUAAUUACAGUAGGAGAGAGCGUAAUUUUUAUUUUAAAAUUAACAAGCCACUUUGUAGUAUCAGGAAUGCUACUAUCAUUUAUACUUGAUUUAAUCGCGAUGCAUUGUCCUCAACCAAAUAAGUGCGCGACAUCUAUUUACAAGCAAAAAAUUUUUCGCCGACGUACGUACUCCAAUGAAUCGUUCUUACUAUUGUAAUAGAUGUUAUUCACGAUAAUAUUUGUCAUGUGAUGUUCAUAUCAUUUAUUAU